GAAAAAAAACUAGAAAGAAACUAUCACUGUCUUUGAUACCACUUUGUGAUGUCUGGAUUCAACUCAAAUAGUUAAACCUUUCUUUACAUUCAGCAGGUUGGAAACACUGGUUACUCCACAUCCUCUCCAGCACCUGUUGUUUCCUGACUUUUUAAUGACAAAGACAAUUGAGGCCUAUAGUGAAAAACUGAAUAUCACCAAAGAAAAACUAAAAAGAAGCUAUCUGUGAAAACACUUUGGUUGUCUAUAUUUACGUCACAGAGUUAAAUAUUUCUUUUGAUUAAGCAGAUUGAAAACACUCUUUUUGUAGAGUGUACAAACAAAUAUUUCAUAGCCCACUGGUGCCUGUUGUGAAAAACUGAAUACCUCAAGAUAAAAACUAGAAAGAAGCUAUUUGAGAAACUGCUUUGCAAUGUGUGAAU
rnacentral:lncRNA from 1 species